GUGCUCACCUCAGCAGCACAUAUAAUAAAAUUGGAAUGAUACAGAGAUCAAUAUGGCUCCUGCGCAAGGAUGACAAGCAAAUUUGUGAAGUGCUCCAUUUUUUC